AGUCACUGACAUUAGAUACCCGGGUAGUCCAGGGUGUAAACGCUGCAGACUUGGUGUUGGAGGCCCUUUGGGGGCAUUCAGUGCCGGAGAGAAGUUGUUAAGUCUGCUACUUGGGGAGUACGUCCGCAAGGAUGAAACUUAAAGGAAUUGGCGGGGAGCACCGCAACGGGAGGAGCGUGCGGUUUAAUUGGAUUCAACACCGUAAAACUCACCAGGGAAGACUGUUACAUGAAAGCCGAGAUGAAGACUCUGCUAGAUUUUCAG
rnacentral:rRNA from 1 species